rnacentral:tRNA from 1 species
GCCCCCGUAGCUCAGGUGGAUAGAGCGACGGUUUCCUAAACCGCAGGCCGCGCGUUCGAGUCGCGCCGGGGGCA